AGAGUUUGAUCCUGGCUCAGGAUGAACGCUGGCGGCGUGCUUAACACAUGCAAGUCGAACGAACCUUCGGGUUAGUGGCGGACGGGUGAGUAACGCGUGAGAAUCUGCCCUCAGGAGGGGGAUAACGGUUGGAAACGACCGCUAAUACCCCAUAUGCCGAGAGGUGAAAUGAAUUUCGCCUGAGGAUGAGCUCGCGUCUGAUUAGUUAGUUGGUGGGGUAAUGGCCUACCAAGACAUCGAUCAGUAGCUGGUCUGAGAGGAUGAUCAGCCACACUGGGACUGAGACACGGCCCAGACUCCUACGGGAGGCAGCAGUGGGGAAUUUUCCGCAAUGGGCGAAAGCCUGACGGAGCAACGCCGCGUGAGGGAUGAAGGCCUCUGGGCUGUAAACCUCUUUUAUCAAGGAAGAAGAUCUGACGGUACUUGAUGAAUAAGCCACGGCUAAUUCCGUGCCAGCAGCCGCGGUAAUACGGGAGUGGCGAGCGUUAUCCGGAAUUAUUGGGCGUAAAGCGUCCGCAGGCGGUCUGUCAAGUCUGCUGUUAAAGCGUGGAGCUUAACUCCAUUUCGGCAGUGGAAACUGACAGACUAGAGUGUGGUAGGGGCAGAGGGAAUUCCCGGUGUAGCGGUGAAAUGCGUAGAUAUCGGGAAGAACACCAGUGGCGAAGGCGCUCUGCUGGGCCAUAACUGACGCUCAUGGACGAAAGCCAGGGGAGCGAAAGGGAUUAGAUACCCCUGUAGUCCUGGCCGUAAACGAUGAACACUAGGUGUCGGGGGAAUCGACCCCCUCGGUGUCGUAGCCAACGCGUUAAGUGUUCCGCCUGGGGAGUACGCACGCAAGUGUGAAACUCAAAGGAAUUGACGG
rnacentral:rRNA from 1 species